GGGGAAGCCAAGUCAGGGCAAGCAUUGUUGAAGAAUAUUUCAGCUGAAUUAUCACACAAACUGUGGACGACCACAACGGCAACCAGAUGCAGGGAGGCAACAUCAGGCCCCUUCUCAGCCCCCCUCCCCUUCUCACUCCCCCUCCCCUUCUCACUCCCCCUCCCCUUCUCACUCCCCCUCCCCUCCCCUUCUCA